GCCCGGAUGGCUCAGUUGAAGAGCAUGGCGCUGAUAAGGCCAAGGUUGCAGGUUCGAUCCCUUGUAUGGGGGCA